CGUAGGUCCCGAGCGUUUGUCCGGAUUUAUUGGGCGUAAAGCGAGCGCAGGCGGUUUGAUAAGUCUGAAGUUAAAGGCUGUGGCUCAACCAUAGUUCGCUUUGGAAACUGUCAAACUUGAGUGCAGAAGGGGAGAGUGGAAUUCCAUGUGUAGCGGUGAAAUGCGUAGAUAUAUGGAGGAACACCGGUGGCGAAAGCGGCUCUCUGGUCUGUAACUGACGCUGAGGCUCGAAAGCGUGGGGAGCGAACAGGAUUAUGACC
rnacentral:rRNA from 1 species